GAAGGUUUAAGGGUCAGGUGUGGGGUUUUGCUGUAAGAGAGCGGGAGACAUCUUUUUGCGUUGUUAGCACUGAUGCUAGGGAUUGAUUUACUGUCUGCUUUAACAGGGUCUCCCAAGUUUAAGGGUUGUUUUUGGACAUGUUUGUGUUAGAACCUUUUAUGAUCUGGCAUGACGGCAUCUGAUACAGAUCCCAGUGGAGCAGAUGUCAAAGAAGGACCCCAGUAUCACAUAUCUGUUAGCUGACCGUGGCAGGGCCCACAUUACAUGACAGCUAAAGCUCGGAUCGCGAGGAUAUUGCUGCGGGAUUCAGCGGACCACACCUGUGCAUUGAUUUUUAAUAUAUAUAUAUUUUUUACCCACUACGACUUGACCACCUAUUUGGAGUUCAUGCAAAUUGAGUAAGAGCCCAAGGAUAAGAAGAGGAGAAGGGCAUCACUUGUAGUGGGAGCCAUGCAACCGUGCAUGCUUCUGCCAAGACAAAAAAGGAAGAGGAUUCAGUUUUGGCUGUAAUUGUCAGCGCUCAUUUCAGUACAACCAAGGGGCAAAGCAGCAACUGUGAAGAGCCUGGAAGGUCCCCUCUUCACUUCGCCUCUCACCUGUGUCACAGCUGCCCACCGGCGCCAUCAAAGGUGCAUCAGACGUCUACUUUGGCACCUCAUCACCUGUGGCGUUGCGCUGCUCCUUGCUGGCUAACGCACUUCCAUCGUUACUCCCCCCCUCAACCCUCCAGCUCCUCGAGGCAUCUGUCACUCACCUGUCAUUUUUUUUCAUCAGCUCCUGUUUUCCCAUCUGCUUUCUCAGGGAAGGUGGGAAAGUAACCAUCGGAGCGAAAACGGUGACCAUAAUGUCCCCGUUCCAGGUUUAGCAGCUGCCAUAGGUGACACAUCACUGCCACCUCCCACUGAAACGGGUUAUUUUUUUUGGAAGUAGUCAAAAUGCUGGGAAACAAUAAGCUUUUCACCCGCGACAGAAGCAUGUGUUGCAUGUUUAUAUGUUGUAUCGACAAUAGGGCACUCAUAACGUUAACAGAAUAGUUUGUUGUUUUUUAAGUUUAGCUGUCUGUGGAGAUCUUGUCAGCUGUCAGGUUUCCAAAGCGUUUUUUUUUUUUUUACUAUGUUUAAGUCACUUUCAUUUUUUAACAUUAGGUUUGGUUCAAUCAAGUAACAUUUUAUUAUUCUUUAUAAUACAACAACCUUUUCAUUAGACAGCUAUUUACCAUGACCAGUCAUUAACGACUGUGUCCAUCCACAGAUUAUUAGAAAUUACAUUUUA